UGCUUCGGGAUGGACUCGCGUCCAAUUAGCUAGUUGGUGAGGUAAUGGCUCACCAAGGCGACGAUGCAUAGCCGACCUGAGAGGGUGAUCGGCCACAUUGGGACUGAGACACGGCCCAAACUCCUACGGGAGGCAGCAGUAGGGAAUCUUCGGCAGUGGACGAAAGUCUGACCGAGCAACGCCGCGUGAGUGAAGAAGGUUUUCGGAUCGUAAAACUCUGUUGUUAGAGAAGAACAAGGAUGAGAGUAACUGUUCAUCCCUUGACGGUAUCUAACCAGAAAGCCACGGCUAACUACGUGCCAGCAGCCGCGGUAAUACGUAGGUGGCAAGCGUUGUCCGGAUUUAUUGGGCGUAAAGCGAGCGCAGGCGGUUUCUUAAGUCUGAUGUGAAAGCCCCCGGCUCAACCGGGGAGGGUCAUUGGAAACUGGGAGACUUGAGUGCAGAAGAGGAGAGUGGAAUUCCAUGUGUAGCGGUGAAAUGCGUAGAUAUAUGGAGGAACACCAGUGGCGAAGGCGGCUCUCUGGUCUGUAACUGACGCUGAGGCUCGAAAGCGUGGGGAGCGAACAGGAUUAGAUACCCUGGUAGUCCACGCCGUAAACGAUGAGUGCUAAGUGUUGGAGGGUUUCCGCCCUUCAGUGCUGCAGCAAACGCAU
rnacentral:rRNA from 1 species